CCCUGUUCAUCGAUGGAAUAAUCUCAUUUUAGCUGUCGAAAAAUUAGAUCAAAUCUCUUCAAAAAUUAGGUAAAUCUCUUCUCUCUUAUUCCCUCAAUCUUUUAGGGGUUUUAAUCUUGAAUCUUUGUAAAUUUUUUAUUAAAAAAUUAUUUAAAAAUCACUAUUUUUUGGAUGCCCUAUUUUUUUUCUUUGUUUUUUGAUUUUUCGACUGUUGGUUGCUGUCGCC
rnacentral:lncRNA from 1 species